UACGGAGGGGGCUAGCGUUGUUCGGAAUUACUGGGCGUAAAGGGCGCGCAGGCGGCUGCUCAAGUCAGGCGUGAAAGGCCUGGGCUCAACCCGGGAAUUGCGCUUGAGACUGGGCUGGCUUGAGUGCGGGAGAGGAUGGUGGAAUUCCCAGUGUAGAGGUGAAAUUCGUAGAUAUUCGCAAGAACACCAGUGGCGAAGGCGGCUCACUGGCCCGGUACUGACGCUGAGGUGCGAAAGCGUGGGGAGCAAACGGG
rnacentral:rRNA from 1 species